GAAAAUGUGUUUCAAGCAAAAGAAUAAUGAAGAAGGAGAUUCAUUAAUGAUGCAUAAUCAUGGAGAAACACCUCUAACUUAAAGUGGAAAGUUUUUGCAAUUUUCAGUAGAAUCUGCUCAAAAAGAUGAUCAGAAUAUGGACGAAAAGAAAGCACAGCAUCUCACUGAAGCAUAGUUGUAAAUGCACAAGAUGAAUACUUUAUUCCUCCUCCGAG
rnacentral:misc_RNA from 1 species